GACGAACGCUGGCGGCGUGCUUAACACAUGCAAGUCGAACGGUAAGGCCCUUCGGGUACGACGAGUGGCGAACGGGUGGAGUAACACGUGGGUGAUCUGCCCUGCACUUCGGGAUAAGCCUGGGAAACUGGGUCUAAUACCGGAUAGGACCAUGGACUUCACGGUUUGUGGUGGAAAGCUUUUGCGGUGUGGGAUGGGCCCGCGGCCUAUCAGCUUGUUGGUGGGGUAAUGGCCUACCAAGGCGACGACGGGUAGCCGGCCUGAGAGGGUGUCCGGCCACACUGGGACUGAGAUACGGCCCAGACUCCUACGGGAGGCAGCAGUGGGGAAUAUUGCACAAUGGGCGCAAGCCUGAUGCAGCGACGCCGCGUGAGGGAUGACGGCCUCGGUUGUAA
rnacentral:rRNA from 1 species